rnacentral:pre_miRNA from 1 species
UGCUGAAGUUCUCUUGGGUAGUUAACUGCAGCCAGUUCCAUAAUUCGGCAGUUAACUGCCGAGGGGCAU